UAACUGAAGAGUUUGAUCAUGGCUCAGAUUGAACGCUGGCGGCAGGCUUAACACAUGCAAGUCGAGCGGGGGAAGGUAGCUUGCUACUGGACCUAGCGGCGGACGGGUGAGUAAUGCUUAGGAAUCUGCCUAUUAGUGGGGGACAACAUCUCGAAAGGGAUGCUAAUACCGCAUACGUCCUACGGGAGAAAGCAGGGGAUCUUCGGACCUUGCGCUAAUAGAUGAGCCUAAGUCGGAUUAGCUAGUUGGUGGGGUAAAGGCCUACCAAGGCGACGAUCUGUAGCGGGUCUGAGAGGAUGAUCCGCCACACUGGGACUGAGACACGGCCCAGACUCCUACGGGAGGCAGCAGUGGGGAAUAUUGGACAAUGGGGGGAACCCUGAUCCAGCCAUGCCGCGUGUGUGAAGAAGGCCUUAUGGUUGUAAAGCACUUUAAGCGAGGAGGAGGCUACUUUAGUUAAUACCUAGAGAUAGUGGACGUUACUCGCAGAAUAAGCACCGGCUAACUCUGUGCCAGCAGCCGCGGUAAUACAGAGGGUGCGAGCGUUAAUCGGA
rnacentral:rRNA from 1 species